UACGAAGGGGGCUAGCGUUGUUCGGAAUUACUGGGCGUAAAGCGCACGUAGGCGGACAUUUAAGUCAGGGGUGAAAUCCCAGAGCUCAACUCUGGAACUGCCUUUGAUACUGGGUGUCUCGAGUCCGGAAGAGGUGAGUGGAAUUCCGAGUGUAGAGGUGAAAUUCGUAGAUAUUCGGAGGAACACCAGUGGCGAAGGCGGCUCACUGGUCCGGUACUGACGCUGAGGUGCGAAAGCGUGGGGAGCAAACAGG
rnacentral:rRNA from 1 species